GGAUGUGAGGGCGAUCUGGCUACAUGUUACCCCAUUGAUCACCAGGGUUGAUUGUGCUGAUCUGGCUGUCCAGGCAGGUGUCCCCUUCCUCCCGAAGAGGACAUCCUCCCAGAUAGGAGGACCCGUCUUCCGUCAAGUAGCUGCGCUCCCCUGCUAGAACCUCCGAACAAGCUCCAAAAUGUAUACCUCUAAAUUUCCUCCCUUUGCAAGCCUAUAUUUUCAAAGAGAAGAAUCUGUCAUGGCAAGGAGUUCAAUUAAGCAUAAAACUCUUU
rnacentral:snRNA from 1 species